UGUAUAACAUUCUGUUGUCUACUUCUUUGUGUCUCUUGCAGCACUGGCUGGAUGUGUCCAAGCCCAUAAAGAAACAGAUCAGAGAUGGUCCUCCAUACAGACUGUUCUUCAGGGUGAAGUUCUACUCCUCAGAGCCCAAUAACCUACAUGAGGAGUUCACCAGGUACCUGUUUGUGCUGCAGCUUCGACAAGACAUUCUGUCCGGCAAGUUGAAGUGUCCAUAUGAUGUCUCAGUAGACCUGGGGGCUACUGCUUACAGAGUGAGCUGGGGGACUGUGACCCUCUAGAGCAUUCUCCUGAGCUGUGGUCAGAGUUCCGCUUCACACCCCAAACAGAGUGAACCAUGGAGGCAGACAUCUUUAACAAGUG